GAUGAACGCUAGCGGCAGGCUUAAUACAUGCAAGUCGUGGGGCAGCAGGAAGUAGCAAUACUUUGCUGGCGACCGGCAAACGGGUGCGUAACACGUACGCAACUUUCCCUUUACUGGAAGAUAGCCCACCGAAAGGUGGAUUAAUACUCCAUACUAUAAUGAAACGGCAUCGUUUUAUUAUCAAAGCUCAGGCGGUAAAGGAUGGGCGUGCGCUGAUUAGAUAGUUGGCGGGGUAACGGCCCACCAAGUCUACGAUCAGUAGCUGAUGUGAGAGCAUGAUCAGCCACACGGGCACUGAGACACGGGCCCGACUCCUACGGGAGGCAGCAGUAAGGAAUAUUGGUCAAUGGACGCAAGUCUGAACCAGCCAUGCCGCGUGAAGGAUGAAGGUCCUCUGGACUGUAAACUUCUUUUAUAUGGGACGAAACACUUUCUUUCUAGAGAGCUUGACGGUACCAUAGGAAUAAGCACCGGCUAACUCCGUGCCAGCAGCCGCCGUAAAAC
rnacentral:rRNA from 1 species